rnacentral:rRNA from 1 species
UACGAAGGGGGCUAGCGUUGUUCGGAAUUACUGGGCGUAAAGCGCACGUAGGCGGAUACUUAAGUCAGGGGUGAAAUCCCGGGGCUCAACCCCGGAACUGCCUUUGAUACUGGGUAUCUCGAGUCCGGAAGAGGUGAGUGGAAUUCCGAGUGUAGAGGUGAAAUCCGUAGAUAUUCGGAGGAACACCAGUGGCGAAGGCGGCUCACUGGUCCGGUACUGACGCUGAGGUGCGAAAGCGUGGGGAGCAAACAGG